GUUUCUGUAGUGUAGUGGUUAUCACGUUUGCCUAACCCACAAAAGGUCCCUGGUUUGAAACCAGGCAGAAACA